GCAUAAUCUCUGAGGAGAAAAGCAGGGGAUCGCAAGACCUUGCGCUUUUGGAGCGGCCGAUGCCUGAUUAGCUUGUUGGUGAGGUAAAAGCUCACCAAGGCUUCGAUCAGUAGCUGGUCUGAGAGGACGACCAGCCACACUGGGACUGAGACACGGCCCAGACUCCUACGGGAGGCAGCAGUGGGGAAUUUUGGACAAUGGGGGCAACCCUGAUCCAGCCAUGCCGCGUGAGUGAAGAAGGCCUUCGGGUUGUAAAGCUCUUUCAGCCGGAACGAAACGGUCACGGUUAAUACCCGUGACUACUGACGGUACCGGAAGAAGAAG
rnacentral:rRNA from 1 species